AGAGUUUGAUCCUGGCUCAGGAUGAACGCUAGCGGCAGGCUUAACACAUGCAAGUCGAGGGGCAGCGGGGAGGAAGCUUGCUUUCUCCGCCGGCGACCGGCGCACGGGUGAGUAACACGUAUGCAACCUGCCCCUGUCAGGGGGACAACCCGCCGAAAGGCGGGCUAAACCCGCGUACAUGCCACCGGGGCAUCCCGGAGGCAGGAAAGGCUUCGGCCGGACAGGGAUGGGCAUGCGGCGCAUUAGGCAGUAGGCGGGGUAACGGCCCACCUAACCGACGAUGCGUAGGGGUUCUGAGAGGAAGGUCCCCCACACUGGUACUGAGACACAGACCAGACUCCUACGGGAGGCAGCAGUGAGGAAUAUUGGUCAAUGGUCGGGAGACUGAACCAGCCAAGCCGCGUGAGGGAGGAAGGUACAGAGUAUCGUAAACCUCUUUUGUCAGGGAACAAAGGCGGGGACGUGUCCCCGGAUGAGUGUACCUGAAGAAGAAGCAUCGGCUAACUCCGUGCCAGCAGCCGCGGUAAUACGGAGGAUGCGAGCGUUAUCCGGAUUUAUUGGGUUUAAAGGGUGCGCAGGCGGUCUGUUAAGUCAGCGGUCAAAGCCCGGGGCUCAACCCCGGCCCGCCGUUGAAACUGGCAGUCUCGAGUUGGAGAGAAGUAUGCGGAAUGCGCGGUGUAGCGGUGAAAUGCAUAGAUAUCGCGCAGAACUCCGAUUGCGAAGGCAGCAUGCCGGCUCCACACUGACGCUGAGGCACGAAAGCGUGGGUAUCGAACAGGAUUAGAUACCCUGGUAGUCCACGCAGUAAACGAUGAAUGCUGGCUGUCCGGGGGGAUUGACCCCUGUGUGGCGAAGCGAAAGCGAUAAGCAUUCCACCUGGGGAGUACGCCGGCAACGGUGAAACUCAAAGGAAUUGACGGGGGCCCGCACAAGCGGAGGAACAUGUGGUUUAAUUCGAUGAUACGCGAGGAACCUUACCCGGGCUCAAACGGGGAGUGACUCAGGCAGAGACGCCUGUUUCCCACGGGACACUCCCCGAGGUGCUGCAUGGUUGUCGUCAGCUCGUGCCGUGAGGUGUCGGCUUAAGUGCCAUAACGAGCGCAACCCCCGCGUGCAGUUGCUAACAGAUAACGCUGAGGACUCUGCACGGACUGCCGGCGCAAGCCGCGAGGAAGGCGGGGAUGACGUCAAAUCAGCACGGCCCUUACGUCCGGGGCGACACACGUGUUACAAUGGGUGGUACAGCGGGAAGCCAGGCGGCGACGCCGAGCGGAACCCGAAAUCCACUCUCAGUUCGGAUCGGAGUCUGCAACCCGACUCCGUGAAGCUGGAUUCGCUAGUAAUCGCGCAUCAGCCAUGGCGCGGUGAAUACGUUCCCGGGCCUUGCACACACCGCCCGUCA
rnacentral:rRNA from 1 species